UCAAGUGACUAAGUGCAUGUGGCGGAUGCCUUGGCGAUCACAGGCGAAGAAAGACGCGGCAGCCUGCGAAAAGCUGCGGGGAGCUGGCAAACGAGCUUUGAUCCGCAGAUAUCUGAAUGGGGGAACCCACACCGCAAGGUGUAUCCGUGACUGAAUACAUAGGUUACGGAGGCGAACGAGGAGAACUGAAACAUCUAAGUAUCCUCAGGAAAAGAAAUCAACCGAGAUUCCGGCAGUAGCGGCGAGCGAACCCGGAGGAGCCUAGCUUUUGAUAGUACGAACUUUAGCCGAAAGGUCCUGGAAAGGCCUGCUAUAGUGGGUGAUAGCCCCGUAGGCGAAAGAGUUCGUAUGGUACUAAGGAAGCGAGAAGUAGAGCGGGACACGUGGAAUCCUGUUCGAAGAUGGGGGGACCAUCCUCCAAGGCUAAAUACUCGUGAUCGACCGAUAGUGAACCAGUACCGUGAGGGAAAGGCGAAAAGAACCCCGGGAGGGGAGUGAAAUAGAACCUGAAACCGCAUGCAUACAAACAGUAGGAGCCUCGUCAGAGGUGACUGCGUACCUUUUGCAUAAUGGGUCAGCGACUUACAUUCUGUGGCGAGCUUAACCGAAUAGGGGAGGCGCAGCGAAAGCGAGUUCGAAAUGAGCGUCCAGUCGCAGGGUGUAGACCCGAAACCAGAUGAGCUAUCCAUGGCCAGGUUGAAGGUGUGGUAACACACACUGGAGGACCGAACCGACUAGUGUUGCAAAAUUAGCGGAUGAGCUGUGGAUAGGGGUGAAAGGCCAAACAAAUCUGGAGAUAGCUGGUUCUCCCCGAAAACUAUUGAGGUAGUGCCUCGUGUGUCGCUCCAGGGGGUAGAGCACUGUUUUGGCUAGGGGGACAUGGAGUCUUACCAAACCAAGGCAAACUCCGAAUACCUGGAAGCGUGAGCACGGGAGACAGAGCACCGGGUGCUAACGUCCGGACUCAAAAGGGAAACAACCCAGACCGCCGGCUAAGGUCCCCAAUAACAGCUAAGUGGAAAACGAAGUGGAAAGGCCGUGACAACCAGGAAGUUGGCUUAGAAGCAGCCAUCCUUCAAAGAAAGCGUAAUAGCUCACUGGUCGAGUCCUUCUGCGCGGAAGAUGUAACGGGGCUAAGCUGUUAACCGAAGCCGCGGAUGCACUGGUUAUCCAGUGCGUGGUAGGGGAGCGUUCUGUAAGUCUGCGAAGGCGGUUCGAGAGGACUGCUGGAGAUAUCAGAAGUGCGAAUGCUGACAUGAGUAACGUUAAAGCAGGUGAAAAGCCUGCUCGCCGUAAGCCCAAGGAUUCCUGCUCUACGUUCAUCGGAGCAGGGUGAGUCGGCUCCUAAGGUCAGGCCGAAAGGCGUAGCCGAUGGGAAUCAGGUUAAUAUUCCUGAACCUGCGUCAGAUGCGAUGGGGGGACGGAGCAUGAAAGAUCAUCCGGGUGUUGGAUGUCCCGGUUGACGAGCGUAGGAGGUCUGCAGGCAAAUCCGCAGACGCAUCUCCAAGGCGAAGUCACGUGCCGCCACGGCGGCGAAGUGAUCGGAAGUGCUUCCAAGAAAAGCCUCUAAGCACCAGUCUGACGCGGACCGUACCGCAAACCGACACUGGUGGGCGAGCUGAAUAUGCUCAGGCGCUUGAGAGAACUCGGGAGAAGGAACUCGGCAAAUUGACACCGUAACUUCGGAAGAAGGUGUGCCGUAGUACCGUGAGAGGAGAGACACCUUGAGCGGGAAUCGGUCUCAGAGAAUAGGUGGCUGCGACUGUUUAUUAAAAACACAGCACUCUGCAAAGUCGAAAGACGACGUAUAGGGUGUGAUGCCUGCCCGGUGCUGGAAGAUUAAUUGAUGGGGUGAGAGCCCUUGAUCGAAGUCCCAGUAAACGGCGGCCGUAACUAUAACGGUCCUAAGGUAGCGAAAUUCCUUGUC
rnacentral:rRNA from 1 species